rnacentral:rRNA from 1 species
GAUGAACGCUGGCGGCAUGCUUAAUACAUGCAAGUCGGACGGGCAGACGUGUUUCUAGUGGCGCACGGGUGAGCAACGCGCAAGAAAGUGACCUGGGGAGGAGCAACAUAGAUGACAACGACAGCUACUAGCCCCCAGGGCUAAGAGCAAAAGGAGUAAUCCGCCCGAGGGGGGGCUAGCGACUGAUUAGCUAGCUGGUGAGGAAAUAGCUGACCGCGGCGCGGAAGAGUAGUUGGUACGAGAGGGUGAUCGGCCACACUGCGACGGAGACGCGGAGCAGACACCUACGGGAGGCAGGAGUGGGGAAGAUUCAGCAAUGGGGGGUGGGCUGACGGGGCCAUGCGGCGUGGAAGUAGAGGGACCACGGGUCGUGAACUGCUUUUCCCGCAGAAGACGCAAUGACGGUAUCUGGUGAAUAAGCAUCGGCUAACUCUGUG